CGUCGAUCUCGUGAAUCAUCGAAUCUUUGAACGCAUCUUGCACUUUUCAGGUCUCCUGAAAAGUAUACUUGUUUGAGUAUCAUAAACAUUCUCUCCAAGCUCGUCUUGGGAAUUGAGACGAUCAAGUGCGCUAAUGGCUGCAAGCUUCUUCAAGCUUUCGCCGUGCACUUGUGUCUUAUAAUAGAUAUGCAUAGGGUCAUUCUAGCUUGCUAGAAGCCCGCUCAAUCAAAUGUGAGAUAGCAGGUAUUACCGACUGCGCGUGCACACUGUGCAUGCCAGCGGCAUACUGAAUCGCACAGAGUAGUUGAAGCGUGGUAGUGCCUUGGCUACGCCUAGAGCGUGCGCGUGCACAGACUUACGUCUUUGCUUGCGGGCCUCAUCUUUAUUCGUGAUCUCAAAUCAAGUAAGACUACCCGCUGAACUUAAGCAUAUCAAUAAGCGGAGG
rnacentral:rRNA from 1 species